AUCCAGGAGGGAAUCAGAGCUGGAUCCAGGAGGGAAUUCCAGCUCCCUGGAGUCAAAUCCAGCCUGGAAUCAGAGCUGGAUCUGGGGUAGAAUCAGAAGCUCCUGGAGAUGCAUCCAGGGUGGAAUCAGAGCUGGAUCCAGGGUGGAAUCAGAGCUGGAUCUGGGGUGGAAUCAGAAGCUCCUGCAGAUGCAUCCAGGGUGGAAUCAGAGCUGGAUCCAGGAUGGAAUCAGAGCUGGAUCUGGGGUGGAAUCAGAAGCUCCUGGAGGUGGAUCCAGAGUGGAGGAUCCAGAGUGGAAUCAGAGCUGGAUCCAGGGGGGAAUCAGA